GGGGCUGUUUGGUUUUGACAGCAGGUAGAAAGGGUAUGUAAGCAUGUCGAGCGGGGUGAAAACGGCUCGUAAAUCACGGUUCACAAAAUCAUAACUGGCGAAAAUAACUACGCUCUUGCUGCUUAAUCGAAUCAAGUAGAUUAGGCUUAAUUCCGGCACUAGGUGCUGGAACGGGACAUCCUCCAGAAGCCGUCGCUCCGAGGCAGACGAAAUGAGGGUGCAGCUAAAUCGGGGAUAGUCGCACUUAGCCCUGGAAGUGUGAUGAAAUAAAAGGGAUAAGGCGCGGAUUGGUGGCUUCGGUCUUGCCCACGCACGAAAACCUAAGCGAAGAUAAACAUGUAGAAAGCGUAUUAUUUCCUUGUUUGGACGAGGGUUCGACUCCCUCCAGCUCCACUG
rnacentral:tmRNA from 1 species